UACGGAGGAUGCGAGCGUUAUCCGGAUUUAUUGGGUUUAAAGGGUGCGUAGGCGGAUCGUUAAGUCAGUGGUCAAAUUGAGUGGCUCAACCCCUUCCCGCCAUUGAAACUGGCGAUCUUGAGUGGAAGAGAAGUAUGCGGAAUGCGUGGUGUAGCGGUGAAAUGCAUAGAUAUCACGCAGAACCCCGAUUGCGAAGGCAGCAUGCCGGCUUCCUACUGACGCUGAAGCACGAAAGCGUGGGGAUCGAACAGG
rnacentral:rRNA from 1 species